rnacentral:rRNA from 1 species
UACGUAGGGUGCAAGCGUUAAUCGGAAUUACUGGGCGUAAAGCGUGCGCAGGCGGUUAUGUAAGACAGAUGUGAAAUCCCCGGGCUCAACCUGGGAACUGCAUUUGUGACUGCAUAGCUAGAGUACGGUAGAGGGGGAUGGAAUUCCGCGUGUAGCAGUGAAAUGCGUAGAUAUGCGGAGGAACACCGAUGGCGAAGGCGGCAUCCUGGACCGGCAUUGACGCUGAGGCGCGAAAGCUAGGGGAGCAAACGGG